GGCGGAAGGGGAAGCUGGUCUACCUAUCUCAAAAGUGUUGCUCAUAUCUGCCUGGUCCUCCAAAUCUUCAUCAAUCUCUUCAAGUGCAAGAGUAGGGACAUAGGAGGGUGGGAAAGUAGGUGGCACAAUAGUAAGAUCAUGACUCUGUUCCCCAUCUCCUAUGUGGAUGGCACCAACAUCAUCUGGAAGCUGAACAGCCUGAAAUAGUGAUUCCUCUGAAACAUAAGAUUGUUCCUCAGUGAGCUGAGUGGCCAUCUGCCCC
rnacentral:lncRNA from 1 species